UCAUUUUAAUCCUUCUUCUCCAGUUCGAAAUUGUCCCCAACCCUAAGAGACUUGCUGCCUUGUAAUCUCUAAGGCUUCUCCGGCGGCGACAAAGCUCGAACAUCGCCCAAGUUUCGUCUAUGCAACCAUCGCCCUUCCUCAAACCCAAUCCACCUCUGUUCCUCCCCAAGUCCUCGCCAAAUUAAUCAGAUUUGAAUCUGAAAGUAGAAGAAUCCGUCAAGUUUUAAAACUCCUUUGAACAAUAUAGUUUGAAACGAGUAUUGACCAUUUGUUUUCUUUGAGAACAUACAGUUAAUGUUUGUUUCGAAUCAAAUCAAAGCCGUAGAGUUUAUCAAGUUUUGUCUGGGCAACAUUGAAGGUAUUAUCUCCAUCUUUUCUUCGUCGUCAUCCUCGUCAGUUCAAUUAUUUGAGUUCUUUUUCUGUUCCUCCAUCUCCAUGUUGUCUUUUUCUUUUCAUUUUUUCCUCUUAUUUUUGUUUAAAUUGUACAAGUAAUAGCCUUGAGUUAACUUUGAUUAAUUUUAUUAAAUGGAUAGAACUAAUUCGAUUUACAAGUUUUAAAACUGAUUGGGCUCUUUAUGGGGCCAUUGUAUAACUGAUCAUGUGGUUGGGUCAGAGUUUUGGGUCUCAAAUGUUCAUGGGAUGGGUGAAGUUCUUGGGCCCUCGAUCGAUUAUGACCUAUCCCCAACAACAUUUUUAGAGUUUUAGUUUUUUGGUUUGGCCUGACCCAUAGAUGGAUUAGGUUGGGAGGGUAAUUUACAAAGAUUAAAAGGUUACUUUAGGUAUCUUAGGUGAGAGAAUCUUGGUAUAACAUAAUAGGAAGCUUCUUAAGAAGCUGGGUGGGCCUGUUUUGGUAUAUAGAUAAUCACAUUAAGGGUAAUUCAACAAAAAGGGAAAAUCAUAUAAGGAUUAGGUGGCAAAAACCAAAAUUUGAAAAGGGCCUAAUGGGUAAAAAUCAAACCUAAAGUUUACGUUAUUUUCUUGCCUAUAAAGGCAUCUUAUUCUUGCCUUGCAAGAGGGAAAACUUCAGUGAUAGAAAUACAAGAAAAUCAUAGCGGCUAAACAUCAAUGAAAAUACUUUACGUUGGGUCUUCUCUAUGGAUUUCUUAAUUUUUCAGCUUCUAAGAACAAAUUCGAAUCUAAAUAAAGUUGAAAUGGUUUAAGGAUAAUGGUCAAAAGGAUUUGAUCUGAAGCUCUGGUCGAUGGGGUUUAAAGCUUGAUUUUAAAGUUCUUUUUCCUCUUGGUUAUCUCUGCUUUGGGUCAUUGACUGCUACUGUUACUGCCAAAUUCCUUACCCUUGUAUUUUUUCUUUCAAUAUCCAAGUACUUCUUGCAUCUUGAAUCGCAUCUGAAGUGCAGAUAUAUGUUCAAUAUGGAAGACUAAUGAUAAAUGUUGAAAUUCAGCUUUUGUCCUUCAAUGAUCUUGUGAUUGCUAUGUAGCUUAUGCCUUCUUUACAGUUUUUGGCUGUUCAUUUAUAUUUCUAGUUUGAAUCUCAUUUAUAAGAUAGCAUGGUGUCAUAUUUAGCAAGUUUGGGUAUAUGAAUUAGCUGAAGUUUGUUUGUUUGGAUGGGAGUAUAAUGUUUAAAUCUCUUAUAGUAUAGUUGACUUGUUCACCCUUCUGCUUAUGGAAACUGCAACGCAAAAGUUAAAUCUUAUCUUUGUUUCAAGAUACAAUAUUCAUUUUCUAUUGUACAACUUUUAUUGCUAUUGAGAUGUGGAUAGCAUUAGGGACCAGUCUAUGGGAUGUAGGGUAGUGUUGUGUUGAUUUUCAAGUAAUGAGGCCUACUGCUGUGUUUGGGUCACAAGAGUAAAAGCAGGAAUAGUCCUGAUGGUUGUCUCAUUUGGAACUAUUAAGCCUUGAAUUUUGGGUCUCAUUUGGUCCUGUUCGGUUGGUAGGUUAUCACUUCAUGCAUGGGUUCAAAAUUAGUGGUGGUUCAUGUUAAAUAAUGAAACUGAACAAAAUGGCAUUUAGUCAGCACAUUCAUUGUUUGGUAUGAAAAGAUUUAUAUGAAAAACUUGCUGGAUCUUGGUUAUGUGCCAAUGAAUUUUUCAAACCAUUUUAUAGUUGAAUUUUGAUUUUUGUUGGGGUGGUGAUAUUCUCUUGGAUUGCUAGGUGACAUAAAUUUUUGAGUUUGUUUAAUUAGUUGAAGUUCAUAAAUAAUUUCAUUAGUUUGAUUCCUUGUCUUCCUAAUGUUUUCAACUUAUUGGUUUUAUUUUGUCGAGCAAAUGUGGGGAUUCAUAGAACUGGGCCUACUGUUGGUCUAAUUGAGGAAGCUAAUGACAGACUUGGCAGUUUGUCACCUGUUUUUGGAUCUUCUCGUCCUUUUAAAAAUGGGCUCCUCCCAGGCCAAGUCUCAGAAGGUAUUCUUAAAAAGACUUGUGUACUUCUUGGACUUGAACUUGUCUAAUUUUGCUAAAUCCAUCCUACAUCAUUGGGAGGACAUCUUUGUUGGAACAAUUCUCGUUUAAUAGCUUAGUCAUUUGAUGCAGGAUCAACUACCAAGUAGACUCGAUUUUCAGUAAUUAGUACCCCUUCAAUGCUUUUCCUUCAACUAGUUUCGUUAAUGAAUUGGGGAAAGACAUACUAGAAAAAUAAUAAUAAUUAUGGCCCUCCGAAUGUAAUUGAAUUCACCCUUUUUAAUUUAGAGUUGAGGUGCGUCAUGCCAGAUAAAAUCUCAAAUGUGUGGCCAUCAUUUAAUUGUUUCUUUUAAAAUCCUUAGAAUUCGAGGCAUGCCAUUAGCAAUCUCAGAGUGCAUUUAUGUGACGUGGUUCGAAACAUAUUUUAAAUAACGUUGCAAUCUCCCUUUAAUUGAUUAAAUAAAAGCGGUUUGAAAGUUAAAUGCACAUAGGUUUAAAAUGUUCUAAAAUCAGAUAAUUAAGUCGAAUAUAACAGUUGAGCGACUGUGCUAGAACCACGGAACCCGGGAAUGCUUAACACCUUCUCCCGGGUUAGUAGAAUUCCUUACUUGGAUUUCUAGUUCGUGGACUGUAAUACAGAGUCAACCUUUUCCUCGAUUCGGGAUUUGAACUAAUGACUUGGGACACCAUAAAUCAUCCGUAGUGGAGCUUCUGAAUUUAAUAAAUUAAUAAUCUCAUUUCGAUUGUCACUUUAAUUUAAAAAAACUCCCUUAAUACACCCUUCCAGGGAUGUAGGUAAAAAAAAAGGUGUGACAGACGUUUCUCCUGUGCUUGUUUUUGGCGUGGUGCAGUAUGCCCACAGUACCUCUGGGAGUAAUUCCGGCCAUAGUCCCUUGGGAUCUUCAAGUUUUUUCUUCAAGAUAUUCAGUAUUGUUUAGUUGGAGGACUCGACCUGACCGUUACGGCAUGGUGAUAUGGUAUCGAGAGUAUUCGCUUGAUGUGCCAUUUUUCGAAGAACUUGGCGGUGUUCUUCCGCUGAACUUGGGUCAAAUGUCACAGCUAGGGGUAUUCAUGGUUUGGUUUGGAUCGGCUUUUCUCUAAAAAGAAACCAAAUCAAGUAAGUCAUUUUUUCAAAUAUUAGAACCAAAUCAAACCAAUUGAGUCGAUUUUUUCUCGAUUCGGUUUAUGUAAGGUUUUUUUGGUUUUUCUGUUAUUUGUCGGUUGUUUUAUAAAUAUAAGACAUACACUACCAAUCAAAUAUUUCGGAGACCACAUUUUCAAUAUAACACUAUGAAAUCAAUUGCCGUUUGAGAAAUCCAUUAUUUACUAAAAUAUAUUAAUGAUAAUUGAAUCAAAUAGUCAUGAAUAAUUUAAGAACUCAAUUAAAAAUAUAUAUUUUUUAACAUGAAAUAUAUUCUUGCAUUUAAUAAAAUAAAACUACCAAUAAAACUAGAGUAUAAAUGUAAAUAAUUGUACUAAAAAUGCAAACCAUUAACAUUCACCAUAAAAAUUUUGAAACUUUAUAUAAAAAUAUACAUAUAUAUAGGUGUAAUAAUAAAUUUAAAAUAUCUACUCCUAUAGUCGGUUUGGUUUAGUUUUCUUGGUUAUUUUUUUUAUUAAAACCAAAACAAAAUAAAAUUUGAUCGGUUUUUAAAAUUCAAAACCAAAACCAAACCAAACCAAACUAAAAAGUAUCAAUAUUUUUGGUAGGUUUGGUUUGGUUUUCAGUUUGGUUCGGUUUUUAGUUUGAUUCGGUUUUUUGGAUUUUUAUGAACACCCAUAGUCAUAACUGAUUUCUUUGGGGAUGCCGAAGUGGCAUGUGAUGUUUCUCCAUGUGAAUCUGAUAACUUCAUGUUCACGUAUUUAGGUGAACGCACCUACUUCUACCCAUUUGGAGUAAUAGUCGGUUAACACUAAAAGAAAGUGUACAUUACCUCAUCCUGCUGGGAGGGCUUCGAUGAUGUGCAUUCCCCAUUUGAUGAACGGCCAUGGCGAUGCAACAAAAUGGAGGUGCUCGCCCGCUUGGUGUAUCAUAGGGGCAUACUUUGGGCAUUGUUCGCAUUUCUUGACAUAAUUGGUGGUUUACUUCUUUAUUGUGGGCAAAUAAUAUCUUGCUUGAAUGAGGCAUCUAAUGAAGGCCCGAUUUCCAGUAUUGACACCAAAAUGGCCUUCGUGUACUUCCUCAAGUACGCGCCUCGUUUGAUUCAGCCCUAGGCAUUUCUCUAAAGGGCCUCCAAACGUUCUUUUGUAUAACUCAUGAUUUAUGAGGUUGUACAUGGCCGCCUGCAUUCGAAUCUUUUUGGCUUCUUUUUUGUCUACUGGGAGUGCUCCUUCCUGCAAAUAUGUAAUAUAGUUGCGCCAGUCCCAAGUCAAAUUUACGAAGUGUACCUCGAAUUGGUGUAUCAAUGAAUGGAGGGGGUGACCACAUUUUCCUUUUUUGGUGGUCGCUGAUAAUUUUGAGAGGCCGUCUGCUUCGAUAUUUUGUGCUCAAGGUAUCUAUUUGAGUCGACAUUCAUUGAAUUUUGGUAGCAGUUUAUGAAUUUCUGCCUGGUACCUUUGUAGCCUCUACUCCUUUAUUUGGAAAGUCCUUGUGACUUGGCUGACGACGAGUUGUGAGUCGCAUCUAAGGGCAAGCUGUCGUGCUCCGUAUUUGAGAGCUAGCUUUAGUCCUACAAUUAUGACCUCAGACGCAGCCUCAUUAUUAGUCAUAUCGGAACACUGUAUGGACUGGCCAAUGACUUUGCCCGUUGGGACCUCGAGUAUGAGUACGAGUCCCACUCCAUAUCCUGAUGCGUUGGUUGCGCCAUCAGUGUAUAGGAACGAUAGGUCGUGUAGACUGGGUGAGGUGUGAGAAGUUUCUUGUUCAACCUCAAUCAAUAUUUUGGCAUGAAAUAGGCGAUGAAGCCGGUGAGUACCUGUGAUUUUAUUGCUGUUCGCAGCUGGCAUGUUAUAUUAUGUUCACUUGGCUCUAUGGCCUAUUUGGACAAUCUCUCCGAUGGCUCAGGUUUAUGAAAGAGACCUCGUAGAGAAAGGUCGUUACCACCGAUAUAGAGUGGCAUUGAAAUAUGGCCUAAGCUUCCGUGAAGCUAUAACUAAUGCCGAGGCCAAUUUUUCAAGGUGAGGGUACCUUGUUUUAGCAUCGACAAGAGUUUUGCGAAUAUAAUAGAUUAAAGAUUGCGUACCUUUAUCUUCGGGGACAAAGAUGUGCUUACUGCGACCUGCGAUACGGCCAAAUAUAUAAGAAGGUGUUCACCGAGUUCUGCCUUAGCGAGUAGCGGGGGAGAUGCCAAAUAUGCCUUCAGUUCUUUUAAGGCUUUGAUGCACUCAUCAUUCUAUUGGAGCCCGUUGUCCUUUUUAAUAACGUUAAAGAAAUUGUGACACCUAUCAGAGGAUCAUAAGAUGAACCUCGACAAGGCAACUAUACGGCCGUCAAUUUUUACACAUGUUUCUUGCUAGUUAAUAUUUUGGGUAUUCCCUAAAUGGCCUUGAUUUGGUUGGGGUUGACUUUGAUGCCCCUUUGUGACACCAAGAAACCAAGGAACUUUCCUGAAGUUACGCCGAAGUGCAUUUUUUGGGGUUCAGCUUCAUCCCGUAUUGCCUCAGUAUUUAGAAGGCCUCUUUUAGUUGAUCGACGUGAUCUUCCUUCCUUUUGGACUUGAAAAACAUAUCAUCUAUGUAAACUUCCGUAGUUUUGAUGAGUUGGUACUUGAACAUUUUGGUUACCAAUCUUUGAUAAGUUGCCCCUACAUUCUUAUUCCAAAUGGAUGACCCAAUUGCAGUACGUUCCUUGAUGGGUGAUAAAGGUAGUAUUCUCUUGGUCCUCUUCCUCUAUGAGGAUUCGGGUGUAACAUAAAUAAACAUGCAGGAAGCUCAAUUACUCGUGCCCUACGGUUGCGUCAAUUAGUUGAUCGAUAUGAGGUAGUGGAAAUGAGUCUUUCAGGCAUGCCUUGUUCAGGUCCUUGAAAUUUACACACGUUCGCCACUUCUCGUUUUUCUUUUUUACCAUGACUACGUUGGCGACCCAUUGAGGAUACUUUGAUUCUCGGAUGGAGCCAUUAGGGAGUAGUUUAUCCACUUUUUUGCUGACGACCUUAUUAAUUGUGGCGUUAAAUUUUAUUCUCACUUGUCAUAUUGGGGGUAAAAAGGAUCGACAUUUAACUUGUGUGUGGCAAAAUCUUUGUAAUUUUGAGCAUAUCUACAUGGGAAAAAACAAAUAGAUUGGCGUUAUCAAUAUGAAAUUUAUGAAAAAUACUUGGCUCGGAGAGCUUAUGGCCUAUAUAAGCCUUUUUGCUGUUGUUCAUAUUGUCUAAUUGGACAGGAUCGAAGUCUUCUAUUGUCGACCUUGCUGCUUCCACAACGUCGGAGUCCUGGAUAACGUCUUUUCAAUCACUGGUCUCGGGCCCCAACUUUGAUAAUUACUAUGCUUCUGAGUUUGUUCCUUUAAGCCGCUAAGUGAAUGUGCAAUCUUCGAAAAUGUGGUAGCAUUAUUGGGCUCUGCGAUGUUCACCUUGGAUGAUGAAUAUCCCCCAUGGAUUUGGGAAUUUGAUUUCUUGAUACAGGCUGGACGAGAUGGCUCUCAUGGCAUGUAUCCACGUGCAUCAACGAUCGUCCUAUGAUUGCGUUGUAAGCUGUGUCUUGGUUCAUUACGUGGAACAUUGUUUCUAACGCCCCUGUCCAGAACGAGCAGCGUUAUUUCUCCUGAGGUUUGUUCGACUGCAUUAUUAAAAUCCAUCAAUGUUAUGCAGUAUGGUAUUAUCUUGUCAUCAAGUCGCAUUUGCGCAAGAACUCGAUGGUGGAUAAUACAUGUGCCGCUUCCAUCAUCUACCAUUAUUCUUUUAAAAUUAGUGUCUGAAAUACGUAAAAUAAUGACGAGAGCUUCAGAGUGAGGAAAGAUCAAACCCUUGGUAUCUGACUUAUCAAAGAUAAUACUUUUUCUGAGGUCAUCAUACAGCUCGUGGGUGAUUGACCGCUUUAGCUUGUGCGUGGUAGUACACUUUAUGUGGUUGAUUGUUGCUUCGUCGCCUCCGCUUAUGAUCAUUUGAAUGGUGCGGGUAGGAGAGGGUGGCUUCGAAGAGCCUUGUUGUAGUUCUCAUCCACGACCACAGUUGGCUCAUCCUCGAUCACUCGUCAGCUCCUUCAAGUGUCCUUGGUUUAGCAUGUUCACUACUUCUUGACGUAGGGCUAUGUAGUCUUCAGUUUUGUGACCCCGCUCCCGGUGAAAUUCACAAAGGACGUUUGACCUUCUAGUACUUUGGUCGGACUUCAUCUAUUGCGGCCACUUCACCUUUGUGCCAAGAUUCUCCAAUGCGUACACUACUUCUGAAGGGGAAACACAAAAAUAGUGAGCGGACAAAAGUGGAGGCGUACCUCUUUCAUUUCACUGAGUCCCUGUAUGGGGUCUGAACGACCCUUCCGUAUGCCGAGGAGGUAGUGUACUGGCUCUCUGACAUAUGGUUAAUGCCUGUCUCGAUUGAUGUGUGGGCUUAAUAGAUCUCUUCGACUGUCACUACGACGGUCUUUCUUCCGCUCUGUUUGGAUUGAUGUUAAACACUGGUUUGGACCUUUAAGAUCGUUAUCAUAUGCUCUCACCUCAGUGCAGUAAGAGUUGUGGAUUUCUUCUCAGGUGGUGGGAGGGUAUUUCAUGAGUCUUCUUAACUAUUUCCUGGUCGCCCUCGACCCAUUCCUAUUCAACCCAUUUUGGAAGGAUGCUACCUCCACCCCCUCCGAUACAUUAGGUAAGCUCAUUCUCACCCUAUUAAGCCAAGCAAGGAAGUUACUUAGUCAUUCGAUAGGUGACUGCCUAACAACGAAUAUGUUGUUUACCCUAGCCUCCGCUUUCUUAGCUCCGGCGUGGGCGGUGAUAAACUUUUCUUCCAUUUCCUAAAACGUUGCUAUAAACCGGACUAGUAACUAUGAGUACCAAGUUAGGGCUCCUCCGAUUAAGGUUUCGACAAUUUUUUUAUUAGAACUGACGGUACUUGCUCCUUUGAUAGGUCGUCGCCUUUACCGCUGUGACGUAAUGAAUGAUGCGAUCUUCUGGGUCUGUGGUGCCAUUGUAUAUCUUCAAAUCUGGUGGCAUUUUGAAAGUUUUGGGUAUGGAAUAUGGGGUUGCCUCCUUGCUAUAUGGUUGUUCAACGAAUUGGCCAACAUCCCGUAGUGGUAGCAGUUUCGGGGCGUCCGAUAUCUUAUCGACCCUUUCUUGAUGUUCUCUCAUCUGGUUGAGUAGUGCCUUAUUUUCAUUUUUCAUUUCCUCCAUUUUAUUUAAAAUGGAUGUCUGUGCAUCAUUGCCUACAUCAACAAUGGUGCGAGUGUUGCCUGUUGGGUGAGCUGGUUGCUCGCCGAUGGUCAUUAUGAUAUCUGCUGGCGCAACAUUUUGGUUCGCCCUUUGAACGGGUUUGUCGAGUAUCUCAUGGAAGGUACUUGCCAGCCACUCCUCCAAUAACUUUUUCACUGCUGGUGGUGCAUCCUCAACCGUGGAUGUGGAAGCUCCCCUUUCGUGUGAGGCGGUUACACUUGCAUGAGGAAGAGGUGAAUCACUCCGCCUGGGUAUGGCAGUUGGUGUCACAUUCUCAUCGCCUCCUCUGUCAUUUUCAUUGAUGGUGUCUAAGAUAUUGGUAGUGACACCCAUUAUUGCUUUCUGCCUUUCAUUUCCUUUUCCAUUCAUUGUUAGUCUGUACAAAUGCGGAAAAGAUGGUUGUUCUUUUUUUUUUUCAAUCUAGAAGAAAGUAAAAUUUUAAAUAAAAAGUCCCUCAUAUACGGCGCUAAAUUGUUGGACAAAAAAGUUUAAACCUUCCAGCUAAAUCAAUUAAUGAUAAAAUGAAGGUGAAUCUUAGUUAAGAAUAAUAAAAUUUAUCCCAAAUUAAUAUUAUGCAAAGCCUGUUAAGAUAAAUAACGUUAAUCAAUGUGUUUAUACUGAUUAAAUGCUCGUAAAUACAAUAACAUAAAUCUGAAAUAAAUGUAGUUAAUAACAAUGAUAUAACAAAAAGGAAUCUACCAGCCAAUUAUUGUAAGACUUGGAUGGUUUUUUUUCUUUGACAUCAGCAUGGAGAAAAGAAAAAUAAAAAGGUUUGAGGGAUAUUUGGAUCUUGCGAAUAAAGAAGUAAAAAUGUAUGCUCGAAUAGAGUAAUCAAUGAACAAGACAACUGUUGUAUAUUCUCUCAGGUUAACCUGUUACAAUGUGUUUUAUCAUAAAGUGAAGAUCCCCUUUUUAUUCCAAAGGAAUAUCCUUUGGAACCAUAACGUUAAUCAGCGUGUUUGUACUGACUAAAUGCUCGUAAAUGCAAUAAUUUUAAUAUGCAAUCUAUGUUUUUUUUUUCCAGAAGAAAUUGUGAUUUUAUUUCAACUAUAUGGAAAAAUUACAUCGUCUGUUCUUUUGGACUCUAGAACAGAUCUCAUUUGUAGAAUCAUUUUUAAAACUCUACAACUGUUGUUGUUAAAACUGGUGUCCUAUUACAUAAAUUGCUACAAUUGCGGAAGCUCGCAUAAAGGAUAGCUAUUUAUGUUCUGUAACAUGGUUGACCAUUUAGGUAUCUUUCCGCCAGUGAAGUGCACUUGAAUUGUAAUCUCCUUUGCUCGGUCUUUGGCGUCUCUGGUUGUCUGUUGAAACCUUCUAGUGUUCCUUUCCAUCCAUAUGUUGUAUACUACCACUGCAAACACCACACCUAGGAUGGAUUUUCUGGGAUUUCUGCUGUUUACAUUUGCUGUCAGCCAUUGGAUUUCUGUUUCCCGUGAGCCUGUCACUCUUUGAUAUUUCAUCCAUUGUACCAUAGCUUGCCACAAUGUUUUGGAGUACACACAUUCAAAAAAUAAAUGGUCGUGGGUUUCUUCAGUAUCUCUUUCACACAAACUGCAUGAUUGAUUAGUGUGAAUUCCCCAUUUAGCUAAUCUGUCAACCGUCGCCAAGCGUCUAUGCAACGCCAUCCAUAAGAUGUAUUUCUAUUUCGGGAGCAUGCCAGUCACCAUUAAUAAAUUUUUCCAUGUAACCUUGGGAUAUUGUGGAGUGGUUUGAAUGUAUGCCUUUCUGACGCUAAAUUGCCCAUUUUUGGUACAUGUUUGUAGUCCUGUACCAUCAGUUGCCCACCAUUCUCUCGAGCCAAACAAUUUCCUAACGAGCCAGCUAGCUUGUUUUGGAAUUUCCAUGGUAUCGAUAUCUUUUUUCUUUAUGUAGUGACAAUGUAUCCAUUUGAUCCAGAGUUUGUCUUUUUUGCCANNNNNNNNNNNNNNNNNNNNNNNNNNNNNNNNNNNNNNNNNNNNNNNNNNNNNNNNUUUUUUGCCAUUAAGGCCCAGAGGAGUUUUGAUAGAGCCGCUUUAUUCCAUCUUUCAUAGGAUAUAAUGUUCAGUCCUCCUGCCGCCAUUGGUUUACAUAGUGUUUCCCAUGCAAUUGGAUUCCUAUGGCUCGUUUCAUGACUACCAGUCCAAAGGUAAUUCCAACAUAUUCCAUUUACCAGUUUUAUAAUUUUUUUUUGGAAUGAGGAAAAACUGGGCCCAAUAGGUUUGCAUUUCAAAGAGGGCACUUAUGAUGAGUUGGAUUCUGCUAGCAUAAGAGAGGAGUUUUGAUGUCCAACUUCUGAUUUUGUCCACUAUUUUCUCUACUAGGGGCAUACAUUGUGAUAUUGUGACCUUUUUCGUGGAAAAGGGAACUCCUAGAUAUUUGAACGGCAGGGUGUCCUCUGUGAGGUGAAGUUCAGAGCAUAUUUUCUCCUUGAAGUUAGUUGAUACACCUGCUAUAUAUAAGGAGCUUUUUUGUGAUAUUGUGACCUUUUUGUGGAUUAGGGGACUCCUAGAUAUUUGAACGGCAGGGUGCCCUCUGUGAGGUGAAGUUUAGAGCAUAUUUUCUCCUUGAAGUUAGUUGAUACACAUGCUAUAUAUAAGGGGUUUUUUUUAUCCAUUUUGGAUUGGAGUCCCGAGGCCUUAGAGAACUGUUCAAAUUCAUUCAUCAGUAGCUUCAUGGAAGUUUCAUCAGCCCGACAACACAACAAAAGAUCGUCUGCAAAGCAUAUAUGUGUGAUUUGUAGUUUGGAGCAUUUGGGGUGGAAGUUAAAAUCUGGGUUUCUGUGUAGAUUUUUUGAGGAUCUGGUUAGGUAUUCCAUGGCUAGCACAAAUAAGUAGGGGGACAUUGGGUCUCCCUGCCUUAGUCCUUUGUGUAGCUUUUUAAGGAUCUGUUUAGGUAUUCCAUGGCUAGCACAAACAAGUAGGGGGACAUUGGGUCCCCCUGCCUUAGCUCUUUCCUUGCGUCAAAUCUCUUGGUGAGUCCUUCAUUUAUCGGAAGGGAGUAACUGACGGUGGAGACAUAUUUCAUUAUUAAUAAUACUAUUUUAUAAGGAAUUCCAAAUUCAAGUAGUACUGCCUUGAGGAAGUCCCAUUCAACAAAGUCGUAGGCCUUCCUAAUGUCAACUUUUAUCAGGCAUCUAGGGGAUAUUGUCUUGCGAUUAUAGCCUUUGAUUAACUCAUGAGCCAUAAUAACAUUAUCCAGUAUGUUUCUUCCCUCUAUGAAAGCUGAUUGGGAUUGCCCAACUAAAUAAUCGACAACCAGUUUCAGCCUGUUUGUUAGUAUCUUAGAAAUGAGUUUAUUGAGAGUUGAACAGUAGACAAUGGGUCGAUAUUCUUUGACAUAGCUGGGAUUUUGCACUUUUGGAAUCAAAGUGACAGUUGUGCAGUUAAUCUGUUUCAGCAGUUUUCCAGUGUGGAAGAACUGUUGCACUGCCUGGGUAACAUCCCCUCCCACAGUAGGCCAAAAUUCUUUAAAGAAUUCAGCAGGAUAGCCAUCAAUACCUGGAGUUUUAUCUGGAGGGAGCUUCUGCACUAUCUGGUGUAUUUCUUGUUCUGUUACUGGAGACAGUAGUUGCUGCUGAUGGUGUAGAGUGAGGCAGGGUCCAUCUCUGGCCACUGUGAUGUCGAUGCCUGGCAACUGUGUUGCUGCUGUACCCAGUAGCUCUUGGAAGAAUUGGGUGAAGUGCUGUUGUAUCUGCUGUGGAUCAGUGAUUUUCAUCUGGUCUUCAGUAAGGAUACAUCUCACUUUGUUUCUUGCUUGUCUGGAUAUCAUGUAGGCAUGGAAAUAUUUUGUAUUGUGAUCCCCCAGUUGGAUCAAAUUGGCUCUUGAUUUCUGCCUCAUUAUUUGUUCUUGGGUAGCUUCCCAUUUUUCAAUCUUCUGCAGUAACUGUUUUUCUUUUUGGAUCUCCUGCUUGUUGAAAUGGUCUUUAUUCAGUCUGCUCUGUGUAACAUUCAGCUGUUCUCUUAUUUGUUGAAGUUUCUGCUCCACAGAGUUGUGUUCCUUUUGGAUAUGCCUGGUAGUUUGUUGUAGCUGUUGCAGUUUGUUCCAGACAGAAUACAUAGUGAAACCUGUGUGUUGUUGGCUCCAGAUUUGUUGAACUGUUUCUCUGUACUCCUCUUGCUGCAUAACAGUAGAGAGUAGUCUAUAAGGUCUGUUCAGUAUGGUUUAACAACUUCAGUGUUCAGCAUUAUGGGUGUAUGAUCUGAGCAUCCUGGCAGCAUAUAAACUGCUUCCACUCUAGUGUAUGUAUUGAACCAUUCUGGGUUGCCAAAAGCCUAGUCAAUGUGACUGUAUAUUCUAUUUUCACUGUCUCUUUUGUUGCUCCAGGAGUAUCUGUUCCCUCUUUUGGUAAUCUGUCCUACUCCUAUAUCAUCAAUGAUGUUUUGGAAAUCAGUCAUUUCUGAGUGGUGUACUGGUUGUCCAUUAAUCUUGUAUUCCACUCCUAACACACUGUUGAAAUCACCUAUUAUAAGCCAUGGACCAUUGUAGUUGAUAGUUCUCAGGGUAUCCCAUAGAGAUGCCCUUUGCUGUGUGGAAUGCAAUCCAUAAACAAAUGUGAUAUAGCUAGAGAAAGUGGAAUUCUUGUCUGUCACCCAGCAGUGAAUCAUUUGGUCAGUGGUUUGUAUAGGUACAACAUGGACCUUUGACCAUUUCCAUAUUAUCCAUAUCCUCCCAUUUGGUGCACAAUCAUAGUUAUUUGCCAUGUUCCAGUCAUCCCCAAGCUUUCUGUAUAUUGUCUGUGAUUGUGGUUGUUUUACUCUGGUUUCUAGACAAGCUACAGUAUCAACUUUAUUAGACCUCAAGAACUUUUUUAGCUCUCUCUGUUUGUGGGACUUAUUCAGUCCUCUAAUGUUCCAGGAUACAAUUAUCAUGGAUGGUAUUGGUUACUUGAGCUUCCCCUUUAUCCUUAAUGGAUGUUUCUAUUCCACUGUGUCCUUGUUGUUGGAUCCUUUGUUCUGGUUCCUUAAGAAUCAUUGCAGUAGAAAUAGGCUUGGCAUUCCAUUCAGCAUAUUUGAUCACCCCUUGAGCUGUAGUCUCAGCAGCUGUGUGGAUAGUUACUACCUGUUUGCCUCGAAUAUUCAUUGAUAGUUCCACUUCAGGUUGAACUGUUUUCUCCUCAUGCUGUUGGUUGACUAUAGUCUCCUUCCUUACAGGUUUUGGUUGCCAUUGCUUUUUUGUGUUGUGCUUGAUUCCUUUUCUCUGCUCCUUUGGCUUUUUGGCUAUUUUUCCCUCUUUCUGACAAUCUCCUGUUUUGUGUCCAAAUGAAUUGCAGUCUUGGCAGAAUAUAGGUUUCCAUUCAAAUUCCACUGUUUGCAUCCAGCUUCGCCCAUUAG
rnacentral:lncRNA from 1 species